GUUUUCAUAUGCAAAGCUAAUUAAAAUCCUAAAAACUUUCUUGAGAUCCGCUUUUUAUCGCCAAACAUAUUAACGACUAACAAGGAGUGACGCCGUGUCGCAACUGUAGUCUGGAAAAUCAUCAAUUUUCUACAACUCAACGGAAAAUGAUUGAAAAAUGGGAGUGGAUUCGCCAUUUUCGCAUUCAUGCAUCCUCUGGGCGUCUUUCUCUAUCAUUUACAAGGUUAAAUACUUAAAUUACUUCUGCUACUACUUAAGAAUCGAAUUUUUUUUUCUAGACCUAGUUUUUUUGGUUUUGCACCGAGUGAUUGUGAUCUAUUUUCCGUGAAUGAUGGGCGAAUUGCAAAUUGUCCAACUUACAAGAAGUCAAGAACACUCCUCAUGCUCUCUUCACCAUUGCUCCUUUUGAGGUUGUUUUCAUUUGCAAAUUUUAAAUUGUUACGCUUAAAUUUUAGCUUAUUAUAUGUAGUUUGUCAUUAUUAUAAAUCAUAUUGUAGAACCUCAAUAUUCCACUUGUUAAGUUUUAGCAUAUAAUUGAUUGGAAUAAUACCAGAUGUACACUUCAUAAGUAAGUAUAUACCAUACUAAAACAAUAUGGCAAUGGGAGUAAAGAACCAUGUUAAAAGAGAAAGGUGGGCUGUCUUUAUAGAGGAAUUUAUUAUUUUUGAUUAGGAGUAACUAGUUAAGUCUAGAGAAUCGCUACAUGAAAGAAAGGGUAGAGAUUUAAUUUUUUGUAGGUUGUGAGAAUUAAAAUUCUAUCACAACUAAGUAUGAAGGGAAAAGCUAUAGAGGAAUUUGGUGAAGUCUUUUCCUGGAUAGAUUCUAUUGUUUGGUUUUCUUGAUGAUCUUCCUCAAACCCUCUUCAUUCAGUACUCUGAAGUAACUUUAUCCAUUUUAUAAAUGCUGGAUGCUUUUAUUGGAAAUUGAUUUUAUGCAGAUUUUUGCUUUGUCAAAGCUCUCAUUUCCUUCUUUUAGGAAAAAGAGAUACCAACUUGGGGCUUAGCCAACAAUCUGGAGACUGAAAUCAGUUCCUUUUUGUCUACUUUGCUGAUCUUUGCUGCUUUCCAUUUUAAUUGCACCAUGCUUCUUAGUAUACUAAAGAUUGGGAUAUAAGACAAGGUGACAUUAGCAGUUUGUGUAUUUGAUUGUUAUGCUGCUGGCUAGUUAUUCUUUAGAGUUUGGACCUUGUUUUUUAUCUGGGAAGUAUAUAGAGAAUUCUAAUUGACUGCUAGAGCUUUCUCAUUGGUGGCUGAGGAAUAAUUUUGGCUUUUGAUAGCUCCAAUACUUGAUCGCUCUCUCUGUAACACACAUAUCACUUAAAGACAUACUUCAGAUCCAAUUGACAAACAAAGGUCAGUAGUGAUCAAUAAGUGUUUCGUCAUCCACAUUUUACAUCUUGAUCUUUAUUUUAAAUGCAGAAUAGAUAUCUACUCGUAGAAAGGAAAUGUUAAGAGUCUGCAAAUUCCAUGGGGUGACCUUGAUUUUUUUGCUUUUUCAUAAAUAUUUUUUAAAUUCGUGUGAUAAUUAUGAGCUUUUAAGUUUUUCAUAUAGUAGACAAAAUGUUAAAUUUUUAGUUAAAUUAAGUACUUAAUUUGACUAGAUUUCAAAAUAUAGGGUCAAUUACGGUGAUCACAACAUUGUUUUCUCAAAAAAAUAUCGUUACGUCGGGAAAAAUAGUGUAAAGUUAAUAAAAAAACUUCUCUUUUGUCUAUCACGUGGAAAAGUUGAAAGGCCAAGAUCACUAUGUGGAUUAAAAAAAAUAUUUAUCUACCACGUAUGAAAGUGAAAACUUAAAAUUACCACAUUGAAUUUUCCUCUUAACAGUUUCUCAUUUCAAACUUGUAAAAUUUAAUUUCUAACAGUAGUAAAACUUGUGCUGUCUUAGAGAACAAGCAGCCACGUGUUGAGACACUCAAGGUCUCCAUUUCCCAGGACUCAAGGCAAGAUCAGCCGUAUUCAUGUUUUUGGUCUUUAGCGCUGUGUUCAUAUUAGGGUUUUUGCACAAAGUAAGACAUGUUAACUCCUAUGAAUAUUGUCAAAUUUUCCAUUGCUAGCGUUUAUGUGCUUUGAAGUAAGGAGCGGGAUGGUAAUGAAAUCCAAGCCAAAGCAAUCACAAUAGGAUAGCUGAAGCUGAAGUACCAAGCGUGCAGUCUCUAGUUAUUAUACAGAUAGUGCAAUUGUACAAAGGAUAUCAGUUGGAUUUAGAAAACCUAAAUUUGUUCUGGAGUAAGAUCUUGAAAAAAGGAUAAUAUCUCAUUGGACACCUCCUGCAGUUUCUCCAGUUGGAUGAAAUGGGGACCGUCAAGGACACAAACUUGUAGAUCAGGGACAAGGCUCUUAAAGAUAGAGCCUUCAAUAUACUCCUUUGUUCCAAGAUUUUCAAAGCCAAUGUCUUUUUUACCGACAAUAAACUUGACUGGAACUGUUAUCUUUGCUCCCUGCCAGGGUGCGAGGAGCUCCCAAUUCCUAACACACGAUAUAAAUAGUCGGUGAUUUAGGUUAUGCACUUCUUAGUAAUCAAGAAUGAGAGAUAAGAACCAACGAAUAUUUUGUUGAAUUGAGUAAAAGUUGAAGCAAGUGAAUGAAGUGAAAUACUUACAGGUCCAUAUUGCGGUAAUAGUUACGAGGGCCGGUGAAUCCAGACUCCUGAAACUUGUCUGCGUAAACCUGAAGCUCUUCUUCGGUAAUCCAUGGUGGCAAGACUGACAGAGUCUCUAGAUAGUCUAUGAUCUCCAUACCUUCUGGAGCUACCAGAUUGUCUAUUCUCCCUAUCAGCAAGAAUUUCUUCGUCACUGUCAGGGACUGCAGGUUUGCAGGAAAGAUAAACCUGAAAUUGACAGACAAAGAAGUCAUCUCCAAAAGAUUGCCGGAAAGAGUCAGUAGGCUUGGUGAAGGGGUCUCUAGAGAAAUACGGAACAGAGAGGCAAACCACUCCUUUGACUCGAUCAGGCCUAAGUAAACUCAAGUUCCAUGCAACCACAGCUCCCUAGUCACUACCCACCACAAACGCCUUACAAAAUGCAUCUAGCUGACGAUGAGGUUGAGAAUGAAGUAACAAAAGGAAAA